UGUGUCGCAGCCCACCCAGGACACGGGCUGUCUGUGCCUGAGGUUGAGUGUGCCGCAGCCCACCCAGGACACGGGCUGUCUGUGCCUGAGGUUGAGUGUGCCGCAGCCCACCCAGGACACGGGCUGUCUGUGCCUGAGGUUGAGUGUGCCGCAGCCCACCCAGGACACGGGCUGUCUGUGCCUGAGGUUGAGUGUGCCACAACCCACCCAGGACACGGGCUGUCUGUGCCUGAGGUUGAGUGUGCCGCAGCCCACCCAGGACACGGGCUGUCUGUGCCUGAGGUUGAGUGUGCCGCAGCCCACCCAGGACACGGGCUGUCUGUGCCUGAGGUUGAGUGUGCCGCAGCCCACCCAGGACACGGGCUGUCUGUGCCUGAGGUUGAGUGUGCCGCAGCCCACCCAGGACACGGGCUGUCUGUGCCUGAGGUUGAGUGUGCCA